AUUGAACGCUGGCGGCAGGCCUAACACAUGCAAGUCGAGCGGAAACGAUGGAAGCUUGCUUCCAGGCGUCGAGCGGCGGACGGGUGAGUAAUGCAUGGGAAUCUGCCCGAUAGUGGGGGAUAACCUGGGGAAACCCAGGCUAAUACCGCAUACGUCCUACGGGAGAAAGCAGGGGAUCUUCGGACCUUGCGCUAUCGGAUGAGCCCAUGUCGGAUUAGCUUGUUGGUGAGGUAAUGGCUCACCAAGGCGACGAUCCGUAGCUGGUCUGAGAGGAUGAUCAGCCACAUCGGGACUGAGACACGGCCCGAACUCCUACGGGAGGCAGCAGUGGGGAAUAUUGGACAAUGGACGAAAGCCUGAUCCAGCCAUGCCGCGUGUGUGAAGAAGGCCCUCGGGUUGUAAGGCACUUUCAGUGGGGAAGAAAGCCUUGGGAUUAAUACUCCCGAGGAAGGACAUCACCCACAGAAGAAGCACCGGCUAACUCCGUGCCAGCAGCCGCGGUAAUACGGAGGGUGCGAGCGUUAAUCGAAAUUACUGGGCGUAAAGCGCGCGUAGGCGGUCUGAUAAGCCGGUUGUGAAAGCCCCGGGCUCAACCUGGGAACGGCAUCCGGAACUGUCAGGCUAGAGUGCAGGAGAGGAAGGUAGAAUUCCCGGUGUAGCGGUGAAAUGCGUAGAGAUCGGGAGGAAUACCAGUGGCGAAGGCGGCCUUCUGGACUGACACUGACGCUGAGGUGCGAAAGCGUGGGUAGCAAACA
rnacentral:rRNA from 1 species